rnacentral:lncRNA from 1 species
GGCGGACAAGGAGAGCUUACGACAUUUGGAUGCGAAGAGCAAAGCAACAUCGGACGAAGUGUGCAAGAGCUAGCGGUAGUGGAUAUCGGGCGAAUCAAAGCAUACUUCCAGGUUUUUCCAUCGGGAGUUGGUACCUCCCGACCUCCCCUUUUACUCUGUACACCCUUUUACGUUUUCUAUCUAAGCACCCUGUGUGUGGUUUACUUUUUCGAUUCCUAGCUUGCAUCCUUUUGCGUAUUCCGCUGUAGUGCGUGGGUGCAUUACUAUUUUCCGUAAUCGGUUGGGAUAGUGGCCGCGGCGUGAGAUGGUAGAGUAAGGUCAUGUCCUCGUGGGGUAGGGGUGGGGGCAGGGGCAAGCAGGGGGGCUGGGAGCGAUUCUGUGGGUAGGGCCGGAAGCAAGGGUGGGAAGAGGGUAGCGGAUGCUCAUAGAUUAAGGAUCGAGUCGUG